rnacentral:lncRNA from 1 species
GGCCCUCUGGCCAGCGGCGUGCUGCGAGGCGUUCACCAUCAGGUAGGAGCCGUGGGGCAGGUCAGCCGUCAGGUGUGGCAUCAUGUAGCUGCGGACCAACUCCCACCCGAAGUCGUCAUCCUCACCCUGGCUGUACUCACACUGGUUCAGGUCGUCGUCCUCCUCGAAGGUGCAGCCCGCCGAGGGCGUCUCGCUGUCCAACGCGCACACCCGCAGGGCGAGGGCGAGCAGCAGCGCCCGGGCGCUGCGCAUGGUGCGAGGGCGGCGGCGGGGCGGAGGGGCCGGGGGCGGCCGCCGACGCCACCGCCGCCUCCUGCGGGCCCCCCGGAUCCGGCGCAGCG